CUGCAGCCCCACACCCAGGGCGGGACCGACCAGGCCCCGCCCGCCCCCCCCCCCCCCCCCCCCCCCCCCCCCCCCCCCCCCCCCCCCCCCCCCCCCCCCCCCCCCCCGCCGUCUUGUCCCCCUCAGCCGCGGGGACCACCCAGCACAGGCCUGACCCUGCCCUUCCCAACACACCCAAAACCCCACAAAACCAUGAAGUUUAAGGGGUAAAAGCAACACAAUAAAAGGGCUGUUUUCGAGGCAGACCGGCAGGCAGACCGGCCCUCGGCGGUGGAGGGGUGCAGGCGCGGCGGGCCCUCCUCAGGGCGCCCUCAGAGCAGCUCGCCCCGCGCCGUGAGGGCGGCUCUGAGGGCGGGGAGUCCCAGCCCCGGCAGCGCGCCCGGGGCAGGAGGAAGAGGAGGAGGCUGAAGCGCCGGCCGUCCUCUCUCUCCGCUCUCCCGCGGCCGCCAGCGCCGUCCCCCGGCGAGGAGCGGGGAGCCCCCCCCCCCCCCCCCCCCCCCCCCCCCCCCCCCCCCCCCCCCCCCCCCCCCCCCCCCGAGGAAGGAGCCGCCAAGCUGCGCCUGAAGCCCCGGACGGCGCCGCCCUCCCGCGGCCGGCAGCGCAGCCCCGGCCCCGAGCCCCCGCCGCGGCCCCGGCCAUCGACUGACAGAUGUUCCUGGUUUGAAAAGGAAGAAUUAAACGAGUGUGAGAAAACCUGGCUUUUGCUACUGAAAGACAUCAGUCAAGAUUCACACUGCACAAACUGGGACUCAGUGCCCAGCUUUCCGGAGUUUGUGGAAAAGAAACAACAGGCAAAGAGUCCAGAACACCAGGAAGUCUUUACAGUGGGAAUAAAAGACUUUAAGUGGGUACCAUUCCCAUCUUUUCACAAAGAAGAAUGUCUGAACCCCAAGGAUCUGAACUCCCAGCAGCCAACACAGAGCCAGAGCAAUGAAUUGCAUAAAGGACAAGGCCAAGCAGAUAAACUGAAAAGCUUCUCCACCAGUACAGAUCAAGCCAAAACUGUAUCUGGAGCAGACACAAAAGGUGUUUCAGAGCUGGAUGUGAGUCCUAAAUCAUGUAAAGACCCUGGGCACAGCAGCUCAGCACAACCCUCAGCCUUGCUACAAAGCCCUGCAGAGGCUUUGAACCCUCAGCAGCACCACACAGGGACUGCACAGAGCAGCAGGGCAGGCAGGAGAGAAGAGGGUGAGGAAAAGCCUCAAAUCCAAACACAUCAGGGGGAUCUUCCAGCAGGGGAGGCCACGGGGGUGCCUGUGGAAAAGCCUCAGCUUGGGAGUGCUCCUGGAGCUGAGAGCCACGAGGAGAAGAUGGAAAAGCAGAGUGAAACAGCUUCAGCUCUUGACAGUUGUCCAAUGUGUCUGAUGCAGUUUAGUGGAAGGCUCUCCCAGCUGGACAUGGAUGGCCACCUUGCCAGGUGCUUGUCUGAAAGUGCAGAUGAUGUCAUGUGGUAAAUCCAGAAGAGUGGAGAGCAAAGGAACAAGGCCAAGGAUGAAGCUUCCUCAAAGGGAAAGGAAAAAAAUAUGUCAAGGAAGCACAUCCUUGUCUCUGACUUAAACCAGUAACUCAGUAGAAGGAUAAAUGCCACCUGCCUAUUUGUUUGGUUUUUUACUAUUAUUUUUUAUUUUAAAGCCUCUCAACUGCACAUUAAGUAGUUCUAGUUCUGAAAAUGGUGCUCUGGGAUGUUCCAGAGACCCCCCAGGGAAACCAGACUCCUGAAAAAAUGCAGUACUGGAAAGCCCUGGAGCUUUGUCUGAUGCACCACAGUUCUGAAUCUCUCAGGACAGAAAAAAACAAUUGAGCAAAAGACAGCUGUUACUUACUCUAAUCCAAAAGUUUACUAUUUUUUUUUUCCUAAACAGAUAAUC
rnacentral:lncRNA from 12 species